rnacentral:misc_RNA from 1 species
GGGGAACUGCAGAUUAUGAUAAAUCAGAAAAAGAAGUCAAUAUUCAUCCCUCCGUACCUGAUCCUGAUGACAUCAAAUGGUCUGAGUAUCUCCAUACACAACUUUUACCAGGCAAUGCAAUCACCAAUGAUCAAAUAACUCAAGAUUUAUACAGUGCAAAAUCAAGCAUACAAUUCACAACACAAGGUUCAUUGCUACAGAACCAACAACAACAGCCUUCUUUACAAACUGCAAACAUCUACAAUAAGC